GAUGAAAAACGUAGCGAAAUGCGAUAAGUAAUGUGAAUUGCAGAAUUCAGUGAAUCAUCGAAUCUUUGAACGCACCUUGCACUCCUUGGUAUUCCGAGGAGUACGCCUGUUCGAGUGUUAUGAAGCUCUCAAAACGCAAUUGGCUUAAAACCUGAUUGUUGUUUUGGAUUUGAACUUUGCCGUGUUAUAACGGCUGGUUUUAAAAGUAUUAGCUGGUACUAGAACGAAUUGGUUCUACUCAACGUGAUAAUUAUCUGAUCGUUGAGGACAUUCCUUUCACGAGGAAUGGCCAUAGUAAAUUCAAUGGACUGCUUCUAAUCUGGCUUUAAUUCUUUAUUGGAUUAACCACUUUUCAAAUCUGACCUCGAAUCAGGUGGGACUACCCGCUGAACUUAAGCAUAUCAAUAAGCGGAGGA
rnacentral:misc_RNA from 1 species